rnacentral:rRNA from 1 species
CCCUACGGGGCGCCAGAUCCUGGUGAACGCGGUGCGCAUGCCGGCAUCCGGGGAAAUGGCUCUCAACGACAAGGCGGAGCUGCUGCAGCUCUACAGGAAAUCGCCGGAGUCGGUCACUGCCAUGAACAAGUCAUACUAUAUGCUCUACUGGAUGAAGAUCAACCAGCCCCUGGUGUACCUCCUUGUAACGUUAAACAAAAAGGAAAUGGAACCAUUGAAGAAAACCCAUGUCAUCCUUUCCGGAAAGCUCGAUAAGCGGUAUGAACGUUAACGUCAGGACCGCCCCGACGUCAUCAGGAAGAUCAACAGCCUGAAGGCAGGCGUUUCCCUGAUGGAGCGCUAUGACCAGCAGAGAUUCGACGAUAUUUCAAAAUGGAAGAAGGAGCUCCUCGCAAGGAUGAAGUAGGAUCCUCUAACAAUCCGAUGAAUUGGCGGGAGGGC